rnacentral:tRNA from 1 species
GAUAGAUGGAAUGUGAGUGUUCACACAGAUUAUCUGAUGAAGAUUGAGCAGAAGGUAUCAUUAGGCUUGUAGCUCAGGUGGUUAGAGCGCACCCCUGAUAAGGGUGAGGUCGGUGGUUCAAGUCCACUCAGGCCUACCAACGUUGCUGAUGGAUGUGGCUGAAAGGCAAGGUUAGCAGGAAGGUGUAAUGAUACGACAAUCUUAAUGGGGCUAUAGCUCAGCUGGGAGAGCGCCUGCUUUGCACGCAGGAGGUCAGCGGUUCGAUCCCGCUUAGCUCCACCAUAUUGCAAGAUAAAAAUAGAUAAAAAGUUAUUCAGAGCAGGCU